rnacentral:rRNA from 1 species
GACGAACGCUGGCGGCGUGCCUAAUACAUGCAAGUAGAACGCUGAAGGAGGAGCUUGCUCUUCUGGAUGAGUUGCGAACGGGUGAGUAACGCGUAGGUAACCUGCCUGGUAGCGGGGGAUAACUAUUGGAAACGAUAGCUAAUACCGCAUAAGAGUAGAUGUUGCAUGACAUUUGCUUAAAAGGUGCAAUUGCAUCACUACCAGAUGGACCUGCGUUGUAUUAGCUAGUUGGUGGGGUAACGGCUCACCAAGGCGACGAUACAUAGCCGACCUGAGAGGGUGAUCGGCCACACUGGGACUGAGACACGGCCCAGACUCCUACGGGAGGCAGCAGUAGGGAAUCUUCGGCAAUGGACGGAAGUCUGACCGAGCAACGCCGCGUGAGGGAAGAAGGUUUUCGGAUCGUAAAGCUCUGUUGUAAGAGAAGAACGAGUGUGAGAGUGGAAAGUUCACACUGUGACGGUAUCUUACCAGAAAGGGACGGCUAACUACGUG